AUCAAGGUGGCACAGGCAGUAUGGAGAGCUGCCUGGAGGGGGAGCCCGCGAGCCCUGGCCCCAACAAUGUAAAGAACUGGCCGAAGCAGCAAAGGCAAAGUGACAUCCAGUGACAUCCGGGAAUGUUCUGCCACUGGGCGGGGCUUCGACCCAGGGACCCUGAAGGCUGCAGCAGGGCGCUCCAGAGUCUCCCCGAAGCCCAGGGCUCUUCCCUGCCACCAGCUAGCUCUGCUCCAGCCAGGCCCAGAGAACAUGUCUGUGCCAGCAAAUGCGAGCCCCAGCAGGUCCAGUCCAGGUGCUACGGGUAGAAAAACAGGUGGUUGCGUGGUGGGGCUGAAGUGCAGGGCUUGGACUUUGAUCCUGCCAAGAGUGAAACCUCUGACGUGGUCGGUCGUGAGUGUUGUUCCAAAGUCAGUUAAAAAGUUCAACAUGGAAGCUCCUCCUGCGGUCUUCAUCCAGUGAUGGGAAGAUUGGGACUCAGAAGACCUGGCUUGAGCCCCGGGGGUCCAAUGCUGUUUCUCCCUUGCUGUGUGACCUCAGAUCUUGGCUGCUACAAAGCAAGCUGUUUCCGCUGCCACAGGCCCCUGCACGUGCAUUCUGUCUCACUUCAGACUCAGAGCAUCAAGGCCAAGCAACCACAGACAGCAACUGUGAGGCAAAAUACGCCUUUUUUCUCUUUUUAAAUUGAUUUAUCUUGGCUGUUUGUCACAGUGGUAGAAAACUAAUACAGCCUUAGUGCGAUCAUUACGGCCACUACUGUCUUCACUCAACUACUACAAAGGGGGGGUGGGCAGGAAAGGGAAUGCAGGAAGUGAAUGUGUGGCCACCUCCUCUGGCAACAAGUUAGGGUGGGCAGGAACAGGUGUCCCACUGUGAGCUCUUGGCCUCCACCCUUCCUUCUGCGCCACUCAGCCAAACCAGCAGCAGCUGUCAAGGUCACCGUCAUCUGCUGCACUUUCCCAGGGAAAGGUGGGGCUCUGCACCUGUGCCCCAGGAAGGCCGUUCCCAGGAUCCUCACAUCUAUCUGCUCCCAUGCACUUCCCAGUGUUUUGGCUGCAGGAUGAUGCUGGGGCCGGCCACCUGGACGUUACCAUGGGAUGACUUCCCACCAGGGUACGCUGGAUAAGCUCAACCAGCCGAGUAGGUUUGCAUAGCCGCCCACUUGGUGCUGGCACUAAGAGCAGAGGGUGGGGCCUGGUUUCCAGCCACGCCCUCCCCCAGGAAAGCCUGGAGAACCCCAGGGCAAAGGAAGGUAGACCCUCUCAGUCACAACCUGGAAGGGUACAGCCGAGCAAGGUUUAUUUUUAAAACCUCCCCAGGGUGUCCUGGUGCCAGGCAACCUGGAUUGGAAACCACUCUUGUAAAGCAAUGUUUUUGUGCACAAGGAAGAGCCUAUGCCACAGAGGUGUUCCGUCAAGUUCAGGGUCACCUGCAGCCCCUUUUGGGUGCAUUGUUACAAGGGGCCAGUUGGGGGGGGCUUUUCUUAGAGGGAGGCUGCAGGUGGGGGC
rnacentral:lncRNA from 1 species